rnacentral:rRNA from 1 species
CCUACGGGUCGCACCAGUAGGGAAUCUUCGGCAAUGGACGAAAGUCUGACCGAGCAACGCCGCGUGAGUGAAGAAGGUUUUCGGACCGUAAAACUCUGUUGUUAGAGAAGAACAAGUAAGAGAGUAACUGCUCUUACCUUGACGGUAUCUAACCAGAAAGCCACGACUAACUACGUGCCAGCAGCCGCGGUAAUACGUAGGUGGCAAGCGUUGUCCGGAUUUAUUGGGCGUAAAGCGAGCGCAGGCGGUCUUUUAAGUCUGAUGUGAAAGCCCUCGGCUCAACCGAGGAAGGUCAUUGGAAACUGGAGGACUUGAGUGCAGAAGAGGAGAGUGGGAUCCCAUGUGUAGCGGUGAAAUGCGUAGAUAUAUGGAGGAACACCAGUGGCGAAGGCGGCCCCCUGGACAAAGACUGACGCUCAGGUGCGAAAGCGUGGGGAGCAAACAGGAUUAGAUACCCGGGUAGUC